rnacentral:lncRNA from 1 species
CUUCUUCCUCCUCCCCCCCCGGGGGCCGGGCCGGGGGUCUCCAAGGGGAGGGCGGACGGCCGAGCAGGGGGACCAGGCUGGGGUCACACGACGGGGGCGGCCCUGGGCCCUGGGCAGUAGCUGGGCAUCUUGGCACCCCCGUGCUGAACGGAGAAGGAGGGCAGCGGGAGAGAGAGUGGGAGGCAGUUACAGCCCCGAGGUGAGAAGUGGCUGAGAAUCCGCGUCAGGAGUCCCAGGUCCGAGAUGGAGUUGGCUCCAAGCUGGGGCAGCGGGGACUGCUCGAGAUGCUGCGCCGCGCGCAGAGGGACGUCCGGACUCCUGGCUCGCGUCGAGCUCGACAAGGACCGGAGUUGCGGACGAGGCGGGACGGCGAGGUGUCCUUGCGGGCGGCGCCUCCCCGGAGCUGGCAAUGCCCGGGCGCGGCGCUCGCAGAUUCUGCCUAAGCGGAGCCCAGCGGCACACGAGGCGAGGCAGCUAGGGCGGCUCGGCAGGGGUCCCGGCGUGGAAACCAAGCGGGCACCCUUUCCUCACGGCAGACUGGGAGCGACUGGGAGCUCUCUCUGCAGAGCUUCUGACAGAGGCUAGCAGUUGGGGAGAAAUUCCUACAAGUAGAACUGCUGAGCCAAAGGAUAAACAUUUUUUCGCCUAAGGUAUUUCUGAAAUCUGCAUCUCCAGCACCUGCCUCCCUUCCCAGUUCCAAGCUUACCCCCGUCCACUGGUAGGCUCCCCAUGGAUGCUCCUUGGUACCCACCAGCACCCCAGAUUCCAUUUGUCUAAAACUA